CAAGAUAAACAUAGACGUUGGUUGGUCAGACACAAACUCCACUGGCUUCGGUCUUGUAGCGAGAUCUUCCACGACGGAGAUGCUUGUCCCGACAACUCAUCUUCAAGCUCAUCGACUUGAUUCCCCGAUGGUUGAAGCGUCGCGUUGGAGUAUGAGGAUUACGCAAGAUAUGCAAUAGAGAACAUUUUGAUAGAAUCUAACUCAGAAAUCGUGAUCAAAGCUAUGAACUCUACAAAUAACCCAUUAAUAUUGCAACAAAUACUCAUGAUUGUUGAGUUCUUGCGCACCUUCCAAAUGAAUAGACAAGCCAACAAUGUGGCUCACACUCUUGCUUCUAUAGUUCUAUACUUCUAUUGCUUUUAAUUUUCCUUCAAACAUUUGAUAGGAUAACCCUCCACAAUCUCUUGAUGAGAGCCAUUUUGUAGACUCUUCAUUUGGUAGGAUAACCCUCCACAAUAUAUGGAACACUUUCCUUAAAACGUUAGAUAAUUGGUUGUUUGUAUAUUCUUGCAAAAUUUACCAACACCUAAACUCCCUAGUCCCUAGCAUUUUGCCAUUUGUUCUCCUGAGCAGUACUCCGACGCCGUUUUGCAUGAACCCUCAUCACAAACACCUCGUCAACCAAGCACUCGUCGCCGUCGUCAAAGACCUCCCAUUCCACGCCGCACCGUCUCCUCCGUCAUGGACCACCGACGCCGUCACGGCCGUCCUCCGCUCCAUCGCCAGGUUCUCCUUCCAAUCCCACCGCUCCAUGGGCCGCCAGAACGGCUUCCGCCACCGCACCCCCCUCCGCCAGCGCAACCUCAACGACGAACACCGCAAGCUCCACGACGGCCUCCUCCUUCUCGGCCCGGCGGCCUACAGGGACCCCCACCGCGUCGACCUCGGGCUCCGUAAAUCCCUCGAGUUCUUCCGCUGGGUCGAAGCCCACUCCGGCUUCACCCACGACGAGGUCACGUGCCGCGAAAUGGCCUGCGUCCUCGUCCGCGCCAACGCCACCAAAACCCUCUGGGGUUUUCUCAAAGAAACCGCCAACAAACACCACAACAACCACCGUAACAACCCCAUCACCACCGCGACCAUCACCUGUUUGAUAAAACUCCUAGGUGAACAAGGGUUGGCCAGUGAAGCCUCACUCACAUUUUACAGAAUGAAACAGUAUCAUUGCAGACCCGACAUUCGCGCUUACAACACUUUAAUCUACGCGCUCUGCAGGGUUGGGAAUUUCGCGAGAGCGAAGUUUUUACUAGAGCAAAUGGAGCUUCCCGGGUUCUGGUGCCCGCCGGAUGCGUUUACUUACACGAUUUUGAUUAGUUCUUAUUGCAGGCACGGCAUUUUAACAGGCUGCCGGAAGGCUACGCGGAGGAGGCUCUAUGAAGCCGGCCGCCUCUUCCGGCUCAUGCUGUUCAAAGGCUUUGUUCCUGAUGUUGUUACUUACAAUGCCUUGAUUGAUGGCUGCUGCAAGACGUAUCGUAUCCAGAGAGCUCUUGAGUUGUUUGAGGAUAUGAAGAAAAAGGGGUGUGCCCCGAACCGGGUUACUUAUGAUUCUUUGAUUAGGUAUUAUAGUGCUACCAAUGAGAUUGACAGGGCUGUUGAGGUUUUAAGGGAUAUGCAGAGGUUGAAUCAUGGGAUUCCUAGUUCUAGUUCUUACACGCCAAUCAUUCACGCGCUUUGUGAAGCUGGAAGGGUUGCUGAGGCUUGGAGUUUUCUUGUUGAGUUAGUUGAUGGCGGCAAUGUACCUCGAGAAUAUACUUAUAGGUUGGUUUGUGAUAAGCUUUGCUUGGCCGGAGAGGAUGGCUUGUUGGGCGAUGAAGUGCAUGAGAGGAUAAAGAAUGGCAUGAGGAAGAGGUACAAGCAAACGAUGAUGGUUAAACCGGUUAUGACUCGCAAGGGUUAUCCUGAGAUUGAGCCAGUUUGAAUUCUUGGAAGAACGGUUUGUGCUCAAUGAAUCAUGAUGCUCAUUUGUUGAGUUUGAACUUCAGUGAAGUGAGGCUGGUGGGCAUGAUUAUCAGUGUAUUAUUUUCUUCUGGUGAUGAUUAUUCAACACAAUGCUUUAUAUCGAGCACCCAAGUUGUUUAUUAAUACAAUUGAAUAAACACCCGACUGUUUGUGUUCUUAAUCAUCCCUGUGGAGAUGGAACAAGUUUGAGUUCUUUCAACAGAUUAAAGUGCUCAAUAUUGAAUUGCCUUUGGAUUUGAGCGUGCAACUAGUGAAGUGAGGGUGCAGGGUAUGAUUGUCGGUUUAUUUAUUUUCUUCAGGUGAUGAUCAUUCAUUGUUUGAACCAGAUUUAGUGGGGGAUCUUGAUUCUUCAGAGACUAGAAAACACUGAUGGGUUAUAGAUAUAAUAACCUUGUAUUGGCUUCUCACCCAUUGUUUCUUAAUUAAAUUGAAGAAAGCAUUCCACAUUCUCCACUCCUGGUUCAGGAAGCUGCCACUGAUUUUCAUUCUCCAAUGUCUGUAGUUUUACACAUUGCUAAUGCAGCAGAGUACACAUUUUGAUGCUGCUGUUCAAAGUAUAUGUCUGAGUCUGACCUCCUUGGGCAGCAAGCAUCUGCAUAAUGAAGUGACCAGUUCAAAACUGGUAUAGGCUAAAUGGAGAAAUGAGAAAUAAAAACUCAUAAGAUCACAUCUGUAACUGGCUGGGUGCUUACACUUCAUAGUUCAUUCAUAGUUCAAAUUGACUGUUGGGCUAAUUUUUCACAAUUAAUCAGGUUUUUCUACAGCAAGUUUUCGAAGAAGGUUUUGACAGCUCUAUGAUUUGCAAUUAUUUGGUCCAUCUAGAAUGUACGCAAUGACAAUGUUAAUUUAUGUAUAUAACUUAUUCUAGAAUGUAUUAAGGUUUUAGCUUGGUAUGUAGACUUUAAGAGUUUAGUUUCUCUUUUGUUUGGUUACUAGGUCAGGAACCUCUUGAGCACUGAGACUCUUAAUACUAGACAAUUGCGGUCAUGACAAGAUAGCACCAAAGCAUCAAUUUGGGAAAAUUCUAUUGAAUCUUUUAGGAAUUUAGAAUCCCAGAGCUGAACCUCUUUUGUGGAGGAAUUUUUCGUAACUUCUUUUCCUUAACCUCAUCCAUGGCAGUUUUUGCCUUUCCAUUGCCAUCAUCUUUUUGAAUCUCUAGACUCUUCCUUUUCUUCUUUGGUAUGACUGGCUUUGGAAUCGUAGAAAAACCCACACCGCUCUCUAUAAUGUUAGCAAUGGGUUGAUCUCAGAACUAAGCCCUAAAUUGUGGAUGUAGGCAACUAGGCACACCAAGUCCAUCAUUCACUUCGUUGAUUGUGUGGUCAGAUGGUUUCAUCACGUGGAUAUAGAAGUUGAUUAGCAUGAUUAUUAGUAUUUUGAUGUGGUCAGAAUGUUAGCAAUGGGUUGAUC